AAAAGGAUUAUUUCAUGUUUAGGUUACUCAGAAUUUGUCUAAAAAGGACAAGGAAACCGAAACAUGAAAUCAGCUAUUUCAGAAUUUGUUUAAAAAGGACAAAAAAUGGCUGAUUUCAUAUUUAGCUCAGAAUUUGUUUUAAAAGGACAAGGAAUGGAAGAUUUCAUGUUUAGGUAGUGCAGAAUUUGUUUUGAAAGGAAAAGGAAAGGCAGAUUUCAUGUUUAGCUCAGAAUUUGUUCAUAAAGGACAAGAAAAUUCUGAUUUCAUGUUUAGGUAGCUCAGAAUUCAUUUUAAAAGGACAAGAAAAGGCAGAUUUCAGGUUUAGCUCAGAAUUUGUCUAAAAUGGAUGAGGAAAAGCUGAUUUCAUGUUUCGCUCAGAAUUCAUUUUAAAAGGAUUAAAAAAAAGGCAAAUUUCAUGUUUAGCUCAGAAUUUGUUUUGAAAGGAAAAGGAAAGGCUGAUUUCAUGUUUAGCUCAGAAUUCAUUUUAAAAGGAUAAAAAAAAAAGGCAAAUUUCAUGUUUAGCUCAGAAUUUGUUUUAAAAAUACAAGAAAAGGCUGAUUUCAUGUUUAGGUAGUUCAGAAUUUGUCUAACAGGACAAAAAAAAGCCAGAUUUCAUAUUUAGCUCAGAAUUUGUCUAAAAAGGACAAGGAAAGGCUGAUUUCAUGUUUAGGUAUUUCAGAAUUUGUUUUAAAAGGACAAAAAAUGGCUGAUUUCAUAUUUAGCUCAGAAUUUGUUUUAAAAGGAAAAGGAAAGGCAGAUUUCAGGUUUAGCUCAGAAUUUGUUUAUAAAGGACAAGAAAAUUCUGAUUUCAUGUUUUGGUAACUCAGAAUUUGUCUAAAAAGGAAAAGGAAAGGCAGAUUUCAUGUUUAGCUCAGAAUUCAUUUUAAAAGGACAAGAAAAGGCAGAUUUCAUGUUUAGCUCAGAAUUCAUUUUAAAAGGACAAAAAAAGGCAAAUUUCAUGUUUAGCUCAGAAUUUGUUUUAAAAAUACAAGAAAAGGCUGAUUUCAUGUUUAGGUAGUUCAGAAUUUGUCUAACAGGACAAAAAAAGCCAGAUUUCAUAUUUAGCUCAGAAUUUGUACAUAAAGGACAAGGAAAAGCAGAUUUCGUGUUUAGGUAGUGCAGAAUUUGUCUGAAAAGGACAAGAAAGGGCUCAUUUAAUGUUUUAGAUUGAUUAAGCUGAGCUGGCCGUGGGCCCAGGCUUCACCUGGGGCUGGGCCAGAGCUUGUGUUGAUUCCAAAGGUUUUCCCAGCAGCCCUGACCCCCUUGGAAAAGCUCUUUUGGAAAAUCCUCCUUGUGCAGGGCCACAGGCAGCAAUGGGAGGACACAAAUUUUCAUUUUUAAGUGGCUUUGCGGCUGUGAAGUCCAGGAAAAAUCCCAUUGAAGCUUCCCUUUAAAUCCCAAAAAAAUCUGUUUUAAAAGGCUUGACCUCGUCACCCAGCAGGCUUUUGUUGGCACAAAUCUAAGGACAGGUUAAUUAACCUCUGAAAGGUUAAUUUUGGGGUUAUCAGGUUGCAAAAUCCUCAGGCAAAGGUUUUUUGCAGUCCUUGAAUCCUUCCCAUGUUGUGUGUGGAGUUGGAGUCAGCACUGAGUUGAGAUAUUCUCUUUAAAUAAAUGAAUAUCACAUAAAUACUGAGUCUAAUUAAGUAAUACAUGAGGAAAUAAAUCUAAAAGCAGACCUGCGCUUAAUUAGCCUUCAGAUUUUUGUUUAAAAAAUAAGUUUGCUCCAAGCCAAUAAAAAUUUUAGUUAAAUUAAGAAUAAAUACUUUCAAGUUAGUAUUUACAUACUUGAUCUGGGGGUCAGAAUUUGUGGGGAAUUCAUUUUUACAUCCCCCACCCUUGUCUUUUAAAAAUCCUGGUAAUCAAAGCAGUAUUUAAGAAAACAAGGUGGAUAAACAGCAGUUUCUGUGCAGCAGAAGCUGAAAUACCUGAUUAAACGUAAAGGGCUAAAAGCUUUAGUUCCUGCAAAAUCACUCAAAACCUCAAGUGUGACAAGUCAUGAUUAGGAUUGGUCAAAAUUUGGUCAAAUAUAGUCAAAAUUUCAGAUGUUCAAAGAGGGAAAUACCAAAACUGGACUCAGAGGCUGUGAUGGAAGAGUUUCCUGCCAGAAUACAGCAGGCAAAAGUAUGGGCUCAAGUUUAAAACACAGGGAGAACAUGGAUUAUCGAAGCAAAAAGUGGUUUUGCCUGAAAUAACUCCCAUUUUCUCGUGUUCAGGAGUUCACAGAUAGCUGUGUCAACAUUUCCUCUGUUUGCUUUACACUUGGAUCUGGGGUAAAACCAAGAACCAGCUGAUUCCUUUCUGGUUUUCCAUCUGCUCCUGCUGGGGUUUGUGGCAAGAAUUUAAAAUCCUGUUAAAUUCUCCUGCUUUUCCAGCAUUUGUUGGGAGUGUCAUGGUGAAUCCCAGGGCUGGCUGCAGCAGAAUUUUAAUGGGACUUUUUGGGAACUUUGAUUUUAUAACCAGAAUAUGGAUGCAUAUUUAGUGCAGGUCUGCUUUUAGAUUUAUUUCCUCACGUGUUACAUGAGCAACUCAGUAUUUGUGUGCUGCUCAUUUAUUUAAUGAGGAUUUCCCAUUGUUUGUGGCAAGCAUUUAAAAUCCUUGUUUGGCAUUUAAAAUGCCAAUGUUUGUGGCAAAAAUUUCAAUAUUUUGACUAAAUAUAGUCAACAUUUCACACCUGAAAUUUUGACUAUAUUUACCCAAUUUUCGACCAGUCCUAAUCAUUACUUGUCACACUUGAGGUUUUUGAGUGAUUUGGCAGGAACUGAACCCUUUCAGCCCUUUACAUUUCCUCUCAGAUGUGAUUCCUGGCUCCCUGUUUUCCAACAGGGCAAGGAGUGCUUUUUUUUAAAUCAGUCAGCAAAUUGGACUUUAAUUGUCUGCUCCACUGAAGGCUUUUAAUAGUGAUAUUUUUUUAAAUAGAUGUGUUUGUAAUUUAUUUUGGGAUUUUCCAGGAUCAUUAAGCUGGCACAGGCUGGGGCAGUGAAUAUUCCUUUAAAGCAGAUUUGUGUCAAAUCUGCAGUGGAACCACAGAGUUAUUUUUGUAUGCCUUGUAUAAGUCUGAAAUUUUGUUUUCUUGAUGAAAAAAUAUAUAUAAAUUUUCUAUUUCCUGCUGCUGUGGUUUGUACAAAGAAUAACCAGUGAUGCUUUAUUUACCUGUAUAUAGAGAAAAAGGCCCCUGGCCUGUUUUUAAUUCAGGUUUAAAGGAUCUAAUUCUUAUUUUUAACUUUGUAUUUUGUAAAUUGUUCCUUACAAAAGCAGAAGCAUUAAACACCACUUUGGCUGCA